CGUCGCGGCGGCCGUGCGCGGGGCACGUUUCGACGUGGCUGAGUUUGAUGGGUCCUCAGUUUCCUACUCCCGCGUACGGCUGCCACCCUA
rnacentral:antisense_RNA from 1 species